AUUGCACGCUGGCGGCAGGCCUAACACAUGCAAGUCGAACGAGUGGCGGACGGGUUAGUAAUGUCUGGGAAACUGCCCGAUGGAGGGGGAUAACUACUGGAAACGGUAGCUAAUACCGCAUACCAUCGGAUGUGCCCAGAUGGGAUUAGCUAGUAUGUGGGGUAACGGCUCACCUAGGCGACGAUACCUAGCUGUUCUGGGAGGAUGACCAGCCAAACUGGAGAUGAGACUAGGUGCAGACUACUACGGGAGGCAGCAGUGGGGAAGAAUGCACUAUGGGGGAAGACCUGAUGCAGCGAUGGAGCGUGUGUGAGGAAGGAAUUAGGGUUGUAAAAUACUUUCGGCGAGGCGGCGUACGUCUCUGAAGAAGCACCGGCUAACUCCGUGCUAGCAGCCGCGGUAAUUC
rnacentral:rRNA from 1 species